rnacentral:lncRNA from 1 species
CCAGUCUUCGUACCAGCUUUUGUUUUUGGCCCUCUCUAGUUUUCUUCUUUCCAAUCCUUCUCUAACCUCUUUCAUUGCAUCCUUUACUAAUCCUGUCUUAUCUACACAGAAGCAACAUUCUUCCUUCAGGGCAGCACAGAGACCAACUUGUUGAAGGAGAAGUGAUCUAUUCCCCUGCGGUUUUGAAGGACUACCUUACUUAGGGACCGUAGAAAGUCUGUAAGAAUAACAUUUUGGUGCCCGGACGUGGAAAGGCUCUGCCCUUAUACCUUCUGCGACCUGCUGGCGGGCACAUGUUAGGCUAAGUGUAACCUUACAAUCCACUUCCAUCUCCGCUUUACCUGGCACUCCCUCCUGCCUGCAACAGCCUGAGAUGCCGGAACUCAACUUGCGGCUUUUCCAACUAAGUAUUUCUGGAACUCACUGAUCUGCCUAUUCGCUACAAUCCGGUCUAAGAGGCGCCAGGGAGUUGCAUACAGCCUGGACUACAAUGAAACAACCAGCUUCCCCAGGACGUGGCAGCACCCCAACCUUCUCGGGUCCCCCAAAGAUGGUCAACGCCCCCACGUCAGCAGGAAGCAGUCUUAAGAAUUCGACGCCCUUAUUCCUUAACCUGCCAUGUCUAAACAC